rfam:Planktothricoides sp. SR001 contig_113, whole genome shotgun sequence.
UUGAGCCGGAUGAUGCGAAAGUGUCAAGUCCGGUUCUUAGGGGAGGGGAGGGGAGUAAUCCCUGAACCUUACCCGAC